CCCCCUCCCUAGGCGAGCGCCCGCCGGAGACACCAACGUGAACACUGUCUGAAGUUUUGUUGUCUGAGUUCGAUUGUAUCGCAAUCAGUUAAAACUUUCAACAAUGGAUCUCUUGGUUCCGGCAUCGAUGAAGAACGCAGCGAAAUGCGAUAAUUAAUGUGAAUUGCAGAAUUCAGUGAAUCAUCGAGUCUUUGAACGCACAUUGCACCCCCUGGUAUUCCGGGGGGUAUGCCUGUCCGAGCGUCAUUGCUGCCCUCAAGCACGGCUUGUGUGUUGGGUCGUCGUCCCCCCGGGGACGGGCCCGAAAGGCAGCGGCGGCACCGCGUCCGGUCCUCGAGCGUAUGGGGCUUUGUCACCCGCUCUUGUAGGCCCGGCCGGCGCUGGCCGACGCUGAAAAGCAACCAACUAUUUCUCC
rnacentral:rRNA from 1 species